AGGAGGUGAUAAGGGCACUUUUUUAAUAACUCCUUGAGCCGCUCCUAUGCCUAAAGAUUGUUCAUUAAGUUACUGAAAUGAAGUGAUUUCAUUUCGGAUCUU
rnacentral:snoRNA from 1 species